rnacentral:rRNA from 1 species
UACGUAGGUGGCAAGCGUUGUCCGGAUUUAUUGGGUUUAAAGGGUGCGUAGGCGGCCCUGUAAGUCAGGGGUGAAAGCCCCCGGCCCAACCGGGGAAGUGCCUUUGAUACUGCGGGUCUCGAGCGGGAUAGGGGCAGCUGGAACUUCCGGUGGAGCGGUGAAAUGCGUAGAUAUCGGAAGGAACGCCGGUGGCGAAAGCGAGCUGCUGGAUCCCUCCUGACGCUGAGGCGCGAAAGCCAGGGGAGCGAACGGG